AGUGAACGCUGGCGGUAUGCCUAAUACAUGCAAGUCGAACGGAGUUAUAAUUAAGCUUGCUUUUUUAUAACUUAGUGGCGCACGGGUGAGUAAUAUAUAGUUAAUCUGCCUUACACUAGAGAACAACAGUUAGAAAUGACUGCUAAUACUCUAUACUCCAACUUAUCAUAAGUUAAGUUGGGAAAGUUUUCUCGGUGUAAGAUGAGACUAUAUCGUAUCAGCUAGUUGGUAAGGUAAUGGCUUACCAAGGCUAUGACGCGUAACUGGUCUGAGAGGAUGAUCAGUCACACUGGAACUGAGACACGGUCCAG
rnacentral:rRNA from 1 species